ensembl:snoRNA
UGCACUGCACAGUAUCUGCACUCAGCAGCUCCCUGCUGAGUGUGUUCAAAGAGCAGUGCGACAGAAAUUUGCCAUCUGGCAUCACUGGUUUUCUUGGCUUUGGUGCCUAUUAAAUCUGGUAUUUUUAUUGAUACAGCU